rnacentral:rRNA from 1 species
UGGGGGAUAUUGCACAAUGGGCGAAAGCCUGAUGCAGCGACGCCGCGUGGGGGAUGAAGGCCUUCGGGUUGUAAACUUCUUUUGCUCUGAACAAGGCAUGCCUUUGGGGUGUGUUGAGUGUAGGGGUUGAUUAGCGCCGGCUAACUACGUGCCAGCAGCCGCGGUAAUACGUAGGGCGCGAGCGUUGUCCGGAAUUAUUGGGCGUAAAGGGCUUGUAGGUGGCUGUUUGCGUCUGUCGUGAAAGCUCAUGGCUUAACUGUGGGUUUGCGGUGGGUACGGGCUGGGUUGAGAGCAGUAGUGGAGGCUGGAAUUCCUGGGGUAGCGGUGGAAUGCGCAGAUAUCAGGAAGAAUACCUGUGGCGAAGGCGGGUAAAUGGGCUGUAACUGACGCUGAGGAGCGAAAGCGUGGGGAGCGAACAGG